GUCUACAGCCAAGCUACCCUGAACAAGCCCUAUCCCGUCUGAUCUCGGAAGCUAAGCAGGGUCGGACCUGGUUAGUACUUGGAUGGGAGACCACCUAGGAAGACCAGGUGCUGUAGGCA
rnacentral:rRNA from 1 species